GUGACAGUUGGUGAGUUUCACAGAAGAGCUGCAGUCGACUUUAGUUUGUCUUUACGAGGUUUAAUUCUCCAGGUUUUACUCAACAACUCAGCAGAGUCUCUGUCAAACACAAACACUGGGUGUGGACAUGUCUGCUGCCAGCUGUCUGCUUUCUGAAGAUCAGUUCUUGUGCUCCAUCUGUUUGGAUGUUUUCACCAAUCCAGUUAGCACACCAUGUGGACACAACUUCUGUAAAAAGUGCAUCACUGAGUGCUGGGAAACCCGUGGUACUUGUCAGUGUCCCAUUUGCAAAACAGUUUUUGACACAAGACCUGAGCUGAAGGUCAAUAUUUUCAUCUCUGAGAUGGUUGAUCAGUUCAAACAGAAAGUCAGCAGCAGUUCAGAGCAACGAUCGGCUGAACCAGGAGAAGUUCUCUGUGACGUCUGUCCUGAAGCCAAACAGAAGGCCCUGAAGUCCUGCCUGGUGUGUCUGAUGUCCUACUGUGAGACUCACCUGGACCCUCAUCUGACAAAGUCAGGCCUGAAAAGACAUCAGCUGAUCGACCCUGUGGAGAACCUGGAAGGUAGAAUGUGUGAAAAACACGACAAACUGCUGGAGCUGUUCUGUAAGAACGAGCAGACACUCAUCUGCAUGCUCUGUAUCAUUAAAGACCACAAGACACAUGAUGUUGUUCCUCUGAAAGACGAAUAUGAUGAAAAGAAGGCUGAGCUGUGGAAGACAGAAGCUGAAAUUCAGGAGAUGAUCCAGAAGAGACGACUGAAGAUUCAGGAGAUCAAACAGUCAGUUGAGCUCAGCCAGAAAAAUGCAGACAAAGAAAAAUCAGCUGGUGUUCAGAUCUUCACUGCUCUGAUGGAGUCUGUUCAGAGAGGUCUGAACGAGCUCCUUGACGCCAUCGAGGAGAAGCAGAUGAUGACAGAGGACCAGGCUGAAGGCUUCAUCACAGAGCUGGAACAUGAAAUCUCUGAGCUGCAGAAGAGGAGCUCUGAGGUGGAGCAGCUCUCACAGUCUGAAGACCACCUCCACCUCCUCCAAGGCUUCCAGUCCCUGAGCCCUGCUCCACCCACCAGGGACUGGACUGAGGUCAGAGUCCAUCCACCGUCAUAUGAGGGGAGUGUGGUGAGAGCUGUGAGUCAGCUGGAGGAGACCAUCAGAAAAGACAUGAAGAAAGUGAGUGAAGCUGAACUGAAGAGGGUCCAGCAGUAUGCAGUGGAUGUGACUCUGGAUCCCGAUACAGCACAUCCUUACCUCAUCCUGUCUGAUGAUGGAAAACAAGUAAAAGAUAGUGAUGUACAGAAGAAUCUCCCAGACAACCCAGAGAGAUAUUCAACUUCUGUUUGUGUUUUAGCAAAGCAGAGUUUCUCUGAAGGAAGAUUUUAUUUCGAGGUUCAGGUUAAAGAGAAGACUAAGUGGACUUUAGGAGUGGCCAGAGAGUCCGUCAACAGGAAAGGACACAUCACAUUAACACCUCAGGAUGGUUACUGGACAAUAAGGUUGAGAAAUGAAAAUGAGUAUGUAGCUCUUUCUGGUCCUCCAGUCCGUCUCUCUGUGAGGUCUCAGCCUGAGAAGGUCGGGGUGUUUGUGGAUUAUGAGGAGGGUCUGAUCUCCUUUUAUGAUGUUGAUGCUGCAGAUCUUCUUUACUCCUUUACAGGCUGCUCCUUCACUCAGAAAAUCUACCCAUUUUUUAGUCCUCAUCAAAAUGAUGGUGGUAAAAACUCCGCCCCUCUGAUCAUCUGUCCUGUCAAUCACACAAUGAAUUAAACAUUUAAUUUUGUGUUCUAAAAAACACAUCAUUGAAUGCAAAACUAUAUUUUUACUGUCAAUGUGCUGUGUGUACUCACUUUAUGAAUCAUAUAUUUUUGUCUGUUUUAUUAUUGUUUUUGUUAUUAGAACUAAAAUGAAAGUGAAAGUUGGUGAGUUUUGCAUAAGAGCCGGAGCAAAACUCUAAAGAGGUUUUCAGCAUCACAUUACAGCAGAAACAAAAGGAACAGUUGGUGAGUUUCACAGAAGAGCUGCAGUCGACUUUUGUCUUCACGAGGUUUAAUUCUCCAGGUUUUACUCAACAACUCAGCAGAGUCUCUGUCAAACACAAACACUGGGACUACCUUGGCAAUUUUCAUUUCGUCUGGGAAAAUUCCUG